rnacentral:rRNA from 1 species
UACGUAGGGUGCGAGCGUUGUCCGGAAUUAUUGGGCGUAAAGGGCUCGUAGGCGGUUUGUCACGUCGGGAGUGAAAUCCACUGGCUUAACUGGUGGCUUGCUUUCGAUACGGGCAGACUGGAGGUAUGCAGGGGAGAACGGAAUUCCUGGUGUAGCGGUGAAAUGCGCAGAUAUCAGGAGGAACACCGGUGGCGAAGGCGGGUCUCUGGGCCGAUACUGACGCUGAGGAGCGAAGGCUAGGGGAGCAAACGGG